CGCUUGUCAAAAUCAAAUGAUUUAUAAAUGUUAUUGUUGCCAAUACUUAAAAAUGUAUUUCAAAUUUGAAAUUGAUUAAUUAAACUGUACAUUGGUUAUAAGGCCAAAUAAAAUAGUAUGUGUGGUUCCAGUAAUAUGUCAAAAUGGUUAGGGUAGGAUGGAUUCUAUUUUUAAUUUUAUGGUGGGUUUUUUUCAUCGUCUUAUUGGGG
rnacentral:lncRNA from 1 species